GGCACCGUCUGGCCCCGCCGGCUGAUUACAGCCAGAGAUCGAGGGGGACCUCGCUGUCCCCCUAGAGGCCGUCAUGCGGGGUUACAGAGGCUGCGACCAAAGUCAUUCCUAGCUCCUCUCUCGGGGCUCCGGAAAGCCGUCCGCGCCUCCAGCCGCACUUUCAGCGCACGCAGGACCUGCCGCGCCCGGUGGCCACACCCGUCCCUCUGCCGGGUGACGCUGCGGGAGAUCUUGCGCCCUGGGGCUCCGGAUCCAGUUCUGGCACGUUGUUGCACCUGUGACUUGUCCUUGGCCUGGCACUGUCCCUCGCCUGGGGGAAGCGGGGGGGUGGGGGGGGGAUGCUCACGUGGUCGCUUUGCUCCCGCAGUCAUGCACUUGGGUGAAAACAGACUGAAGAGUCACGGGAACCAGCUUGUCUCCCCAGUUAUGGCGCAGAGCUGCAAGGAUGGCUGUGGGUCAUUAAUUUCUCCGUGGCUGACCUGUGUUUGUAACGCCGCAGCUGUUGCGAGGGGGAAGGACACUGCUUCGGAUUCAAAUUCUGACUCCUUGCUGCAGUGUGUCACCUUGAGCCAGUCCCAGAUCUCUGCGUUCUCACAAUUGUAAAAUGUUAACAGAGGCUGCCUACCUUGUGGCUGGAAUUAAAUGAAUUAACGUGUGUGAAUGUGACUAGAAUUCAGUACAUGUUCAGGAAAAGCUGAUUUCCGCUUUGCUGUUACCGUGAAUAUUACUGUUUUAGGGUGUAGAAAAGGGUGGAAGGGGAUGUUAUUGCAUCCUGGAAGCUUAUCCUUUUGAGGUAAAGAUUGAUUUCUGGUCCCCUGCGUGGUAUAUAGUGUAGUUUUGACAUUAUUUAGAUGUGUUAUGCACAUUUGGGUGUUGAUUAUAUGGCUUACGAUCAAGACUAACCAGUCAUGCCGUGGGAGAUUAAGGUCGUGGUCUCUUGUCAGGAUUGUAGUGAGAUUUAAAAAUUCCAGCCAGAAAUACCAGGCUUAGAAUGCUCUGAAGCCCUCCCCACAUUUUUGCCAUCUCUAGCAGGAGGGCACUGCAUAGCAGAAACAAAGACGUUGUAAAUUGUUGCUGCCUGAGUCAUUUAUAGAGGCUUAAACAACCUGAAUGUCCUCUGACCUACCUGUAACAUUUGAUGGAGUUGUAUGAGUAACUUACAAAGCUGUAGGUCCCAAGGUCGGUCUGAAAAAGAAAGUUCAUAUCCGGGAGCACUGACCCCGUAGUGUAAUCCUGGCACCUUAAAACGUACUGCUCCCUCCACCUUCACUUCAAGGUUAUGAAAACAUUGAGUAAAAGGGAUGAUCUGUUCAAAGUCCUUAGUGUUCUGCCAAUUUAAAACAGUAAUUUUCAAAGCAGUUAUUUGCAAGGAAAUUGCCUAGAACUUCUCCCAGUGUGCGGUUGUUUUGUGUGUUUGUGUGUGUGUUUUGUUUGUUUGUUUUCAGUCUGUCCACAGGCGUACUUUUAUAGGUCUGUGAUAGUAGGUAGCUCUUCAAGUUGGCAAACACCUGCUGGACAACCCCUGAGAGAUUCAUCUGAGUGAGAGAGCACUCUCCAGCCCCAUCGGAGUGGGUUUGCAGGGAAAUCAUAAGGAAGAAAUCCUUAUCUUUCCAACACUGAGAUGCUUCUGCCGAAGAGUAGAAUGGGAGUGAGGGGACACGCAAAACGGGCUGCUGCCGGAGGAAGAGGAACAGUGUUGUGGCUCAUGCCAUAUGAAUGGGCUCACUGGCCUGGCCCAGACCCUGACUGCCCACAGGAUCUUUGACAGAGAAACGGAGGCACAGAGAAGGAAGCGGCAGUUAAAGCUGCGAAGAACCUAACAAAUUUCAAGAUUGUAAGUGCCUUUUCCCAGGAUGCCAGCAAGUACUGAGCCUGUAUUUUGAGCUGCAUCAAACCCUGUUGGAAUAAAAAAGGACAUUUCUAGGAGAUCAGUCUUCGAGAUUGGCCCCAGUUUCCCCAGAGUAGGAAGAGGCAGGAAGCCAGAGCACAUGUUCUCUCCAGAAAUAAAGUUGUUGCAGUGGC
rnacentral:lncRNA from 1 species